rnacentral:rRNA from 1 species
GAAUAUUGGACAAUGGGCGAAAGCCUGAUCCAGCCAUGCCGCGUGUGUGAAGAAGGUCUUCGGCUUGUAAAGCACUUUAAGUUGGGAGGAAGGGCAGUAAGCGAAUCCCUUGCUGUUUUGACGUUACCGACAGAAUAAGCACCGGCUAACUCUGGUCCAGCAGCCGCGGUAAUACAGAGGGUGCAAGCGUUAAUCGGAAUUACUGGGCGUAAAGCGCGCGUAGGUGGUUCGGUAAGGUGGAUGUGAAAUCCCCGGGCUCAACCUGGGAACUGCAUCCAAAACGGGCGAGCUAGAGUAGGGCAGAGGGUGGUGGAAUUUCCUGUGUAGCGGUGAAAUGCGUAGAUAUGCGGAGGAACACCGAUGGCGAAGGCAACCCCCUGGGCCUGUACUGACGCUCAUGCACGAAAGCGUGGGGAGCAAACAG